GGUGGCUCAGUGGUAGAGCACUUGCCUUGCAUGCAUGAGGCACUGGGUCCAAUUCCUCAGCACCA
rnacentral:tRNA from 1 species